UUCCUUCUUUUAUUCGUUACUAGGUCAAUUAAAAUCUCAUUCUUAAAUUUUCCCAGAUUCGGGUAUUUCUACUUUAACUGCGAAUUCAAUUUCUAAUAUCAUUAAUUUGGAAACAAAAAAAAAACAAAGAAGCAAAACAACUUUGAAAGCUUUCUCGGUUAUUAUAGUUUCAUUGGCUCUCAAUCGAAGAAAACUUUUUAGCUUAUAGAAUUUGCUUUUGAGGAUUGAUUUUAAUUCAAUAUGGGCAAUCUCAACGUUGUUCCAUUAGAUUCUGAGAUCAAAGAGGAGGAUAUAUCUUUGAAGAAUCAUAAUCCAGACAAAGAUAAGGACAAGGACACGAACAUGGAACUACCUACUAGUCCACGUCAUAGGAAGGUUGAUGCUAGAUGGUUACCAGCUGAAGCUCAGAGGCCGAUCAUCGAUGAUGCUCCGGUGUUCACGCCAUCUUUAGAGG